CAGACAAACAGAGGCGGCCCUGGUGGGGAAGAGAAGACAGGGAGGCUGUUCUGUUAAGCUCUGGCUUCCUCAGCUUCUAGCUCGUUGGAGAAGCGGGAGCGACGGAGCCCGGAGUGUUUCACCAUUUAGCAGAUGCCUUUAUCCAAAGUGUUGUACAUUUUUGAGAAAGCAGGGUUAGAUAAUCCCUGGCUUAAGGGCCUUACUCAGGGACCCAAGGAUUAAAUCACCUAGGGAUCUGAACCGGCGACCUUCUGAUUAGAGGAACGCAGCACGCUGCCAUGGGGGAGAACGGAGCAAUCGGAGACAAUGCAUCUCGCGCCAUCAUGGAUGGAAUUAUCCCAGCCGUUCCUGGGGAAAUAACACCGCCAGCGGUCGGGAAAUCCCCAGGAUUCACGCGGAGCCAGCUGAUUAAGGAUGAACUCAGAGAUCGGCGGCAUGCGCCCCCACCCCCCACCCAGCAGCGGAACCGAACACUCCUGCAUCACCGUGCUGCAUGAACCUCGCAUCCCAGCUCGUCUCUGCUCCGCAGGAUAGCAUUUCUGCGCAUUUUCUCGUUAUGAACAUAAACCUGCUUCCCAUUUUGCAUAUCAAAGGCUUAAUGAGACCGGAAUCUCUGACGGUUCCACCUGGAUAUAUACAGAAAAUCACAUUUCGCAGAAACAGUCCUGUAACGUGACGUCAGCGAUGUCCAGGAGACAGAUGCCUUUGCCAUUCUGUUAUAUAAUAAUUCUUCCAAGGAGAGGAAUUGGCUUAGAAUAGUGCUUCAUCCACACCAGGGACCGGACCUGGCAUCACACGCUGAAUCACGCUGUCAGUCAAAACCUGCAGGUCUUCAUCUGCCAGGAAGUCUGAUUCAGUUAUAUAUACCAUCCCCCCCCUAAGAAAGGCUAAGUGCAGAUGCCAGAGGUCGGGGUGUUUCUGUUAUUUAAGGGUGUGAAGGUCUGUCGGUUAUUUGUUACGGUUCAUAUCACGAAAAGUUUCAGAGGAAGAAAGAUAUAUACGCACAUAAACGAAUUGCAGCCGUAUCGAUGACCCCGCAUCCGGACUGACGUCACUCCCUGGAUUACAUGCGAGCCGCAAUCAGUUGCGACAGCUGCAGGGGCGAGCCCACACAACGUACCGGCCCCCGCCGUUCAGAUAUGGGGGGCUUUAGUCACUCGCCAAAAGCCAGCCGUGUGACACGACGCCACUCACGCCUCUCAGCGACGAGAACACAAGGGCGCCGAACCACCUGUCCGAUUCCGGCCUGGAGCGCUUCCAGACAAACAUGCCGCGCCGCGUGGAUUUCUGCCCGCUUGCCGUAUAAUUCCAUCUGCAGACAUAUCAUCGGAAUUACGAUUAAGAUUAAAGGGGAUGAUCCCAUACAGCAGCGAGAAUACAGAGCACAGUCAAACGUGCGCAGACCGCCCAACAGACGAAGUGCAAAGGCCGUGCACAUACUGCAAUCUAGCAAAUGUGGUGCAAGCAAAUUGAAAUGCUACGCAGAACUCAAAUAGUGUCCUGAAAAACAGAAUAUUGAAUAAUAAGUUAGCAGGGAUGGUACAUGUGCAACUACAGAUUCGGUGCCAGAAAUGGUCCAAUCGAAGACAGCGUGCAGAAGGUCCACGAAUCACGAGGAGGCUGUAGCGAGUGUUUAUGGCCGGUUUCAGUGGAAAUGCUCGAUAGAAUCACGGUUCGGUUUCAUGUGUGCGAGAUGACAACGAACUGACUUGACGUGACAUGAGAUGGACUAGCCUUACAGCUUCACCAUUCCAUCAGAGUCAUAGAUGUCAGCCAUGACCGGAAGCGAGCAAGUUACGCAUCGACCCACCUUACUGCUGUCGGCUGAAGAUCUCACAUGGGAGCAUCAAAUAGCAGCAAGACUGACCCCCCUCAGAUGGGUGGUCAAUGGAUCUAUCUGACCAGACAUCUCAAGGCCCAUCCCUCCUGGAAAACUAUACUACCUCAUCCUCCCACCAACCUGGGCUCUGUCUUCGAUGACUAUUCCGGAGUUAUGGUCUCUUGGCAACAAUGAAUGCUCUUCUCUUGUAUUUUCCACUUGUCAAGUAGGAACUGAUUCCUCAUGGGGUUUUGAUUUGACUGGCUUUUCUGAUGUGGGGUUCUAACAAUGUUUUUUAUAGCUCUUGCCCCAGUGCUAACUUGCACGUGAUACUGAUCACUCAUUGGCUGCUCAGCCUAGCAAGAGUUGCUCCUGCGUUGGCUCCUUGACAACUGUAUGCUUGUGAUGUUCUGGAUCUGCCUCGCUUGUAUGUCGCUUUGCACAAAAGUGUCUGUUAAAUAAAUAUAUGUAAAUGAAAGUCAA